rnacentral:rRNA from 1 species
AUACGGAGGGAGCAAGCGUUAUUCGGAAUCACUGGGCGUAAAGGACGCGUAGGCGGGUUUGUAAGUCAGGUGUGAAAUCCUACAGCUCAACUGUAGAACUGCACUUGAAACUACAGACCUAGAGUAUGGAAGGGGCAGAUGGAAUUAGUGGUGUAGGGGUAAAACCCGUAGAUAUCACUAGGAAUACCGAAAGCGAAGGCGAUCUGCUGGGACAUUACUGACGCUGAGGCGUGAAAGCGUGGGGAGCAAACAGGAUUAGAAACCCCUGUAGUCC